rnacentral:ncRNA from 1 species
GGGUGUCGACGAAGCGUAAGCGCAGUCGACAGGAUCGGGUUGGUCGGGCCGCCAGCC